UACGGAGGGGGUUAGCGUUGUUCGGAAUUACUGGGCGUAAAGCGCGCGUAGGCGGAUUAGUCAGUCAGAGGUGAAAUCCCAGGGCUCAACCCUGGAACUGCCUUUGAUACUGCUAGUCUUGAGUUCGAGAGAGGUGAGUGGAAUUCCAAGUGUAGAGGUGAAAUUCGUAGAUAUUCGGAGGAACACCAGUGGCGAAGGCGGCUCACUGGCUCGAUACUGACGCUGAGGUGCGAAAGCGUGGGUAGCAAACAGGAUUAGAUACCCUGGUAGUCCUAGCCGUAAACGGUGCACACUUGCUAUGAGCGGAUUCGACCCCGUUCGUGGCGUAGCUAACGCGUUAAGUGUGCCGCCUGGGGAGUACGGUCGCAAGAUUAAAACUCAAAGAAAUUGACGGGGGCCUGCACAAGCGGUGGAGUAUGUGGCUUAAUUCGAUGCAACGCGAAGAACCUUACCUGGCCUUGACAUGUUUGUGGUAAAACCCUGAAAGGGGAAUGACCUCGCAAGAGGAGCUUACACAGGUGCUGCAUGGCUGUCGUCAGCUCGUGUCGUG
rnacentral:rRNA from 1 species